rnacentral:rRNA from 1 species
UAGGAAUAUGCCUUAAAGUGGGGGACAACUUGGGGAAACUCAAGCUAAUACCGCAUAAUCUCUUAGGAGAAAAGCUGGGGGCCAUUUAUGGCCUGGUGCUUUAAGAUUAGCCUGCGUCCGAUUAGCUAGUUGGUAGGGUAAAGGCCUACCAAGGCGACGAUCGGUAGCUGGUCUGAGAGGAUGGCCAGCCACACUGGAACUGAGACACGGUCCAGACUCUUACGGGAGGCAG